GGAGGGGGGCUCAGGGCGCGCGGGAGGUCGGUCCCGGCCGGGCCCCCCUCUCCCGCUAAGGCUAGGCCGGGCCUCCCCGGAGUGUGUGUAACUCGGGCUGGGCAAGUCCCCCGGCGCUGCGAGCACCCCGCUCCCGGCCCUGGGAGGAUGGGGUGGCCUGUGGGGGCGCCUCGGAGCCCAGACUCCAUCCCUCCGAGGAGCCACUUCACUGAGCCGGGGGACGCGAGGCCCGAGUUUCAGCAGCAGCUCCAUGUUCUCAUUCUUGAGCAUCUCCAACUGCGUGAAGGUGUCGCUCUGUGCCAGGAACCGCCGCACCACCGCCUAGGGCCCACCAACCCCAGUCAGAGCAGGGGCCUGGACAGGUCUGGCUGCCACCCUCCUCCUUAACCCCAGGGCAAGAAGAGCAGGUGGCUGAGCUGACAGCUUCUGCACAGUGAUGCGUAGGGACUCUCAAUAGGACUCAGGGCUGCCUCACAGCCAUCUGCAUUUGGAGAGCGACCUUCCCGGGGCUGGCAUAGAUGGGUCCCUUGGAAUGGACUGGAGGCCAGGCCUGCCCCGC